rnacentral:rRNA from 1 species
CCUACGGGAGGCAGCAGUGGGGAAUAUUGCUCAAUGGGGGAAACCCUGAAGCAGCAACGCCGCGUGGAGGAUGACGGUUUUCGGAUUGUAAACUCCUUUUAUCGGGGAAGAAUAAUGACGGUACCCGAUGAAUAAGCGCCGGCUAACUCCGUGCCAGCAGCCGCGGUAAU